GGCUCGGUAGCGGAGGGUCUGCAUCUGCACUCCAUUCGUAAAUUCCCUGACAUAAUGCAGAUAAUGCCUGUUCGAUUCAGGUCCGAGCCA